UGCUGAGCCACUUAUGUCGAAGUCGACCAGCUGCCAGCCUGCAGCGAAAGACGAUGAAGCCCACUGUGUUAUUUCUCAACUUCUGUGUGUUUCUUGUAACCGUUUCAUGUGAUAUGGAAGCCAAAGUCUUCCAUCUACAAACGACUCCCGACAGAUCUCAGUUCUUUCAGUAUGAGGACGUCUCUCUGAGCUGCAAGGGCUCGCCCGGCGCCGCUCUGCUGAAGAGGAACACCACCAGAG